GGGCCGGUAGCUCAGCCGGGAAGAGCACCGGGCUUUUAACCCGGGGGUCGCGGGUUCAAAUCCCGCCCGGCCCGCCA
rnacentral:tRNA from 2 species